AGAGUUUGAUCCUGGCUCAGAUUGAACGCUGGCGGAAUGCUUUACACAUGCAGGUCGAACGGCAGCACGGACUUCGGUCUGGUGGCGAGUGGCGAACGGGUGAGUAACAUAUCGGAACGUAUCCAAUAAUGGGGGAUAACUAAUCGAAAGGUUGGCUAAUACCGCAUACGCCCUACGGGGGAAAGCUAGGGACCUUCGGGCCUGGCGUUAAUGGAGCGGCCGAUAUCUGAUUAGCUAGUUGGUGAGGUAAAGGCUCACCAAGGCGACGAUCAGUAGCUGGUCUGAGAGGACGACCAGCCACACUGGAACUGAGACACGGUCCAGACUCCUACGGGAGGCAGCAGUGGGGAAUUUUGGACAAUGGGCGCAAGCCUGAUCCAGCCAUUCCGCGUGAGUGAAGAAGGCCUUCGGGUUGUAAAGCUCUUUCGCAAGGGAAGAAAACUUAGUUACUAAUAUUAACUGAGGUUGACGGUACCUUGAUAAGAAGCACCGGCUAACUACGUGCCAGCAGCCGCGGUAAUACGUAGGGUGCGAGCGUUAAUCGGAAUUACUGGGCGUAAAGCGUGCGCAGGCUGUUUUGUAAGUCAGAUGUGAAAUCCCCGAGCUCAACUUGGGAACUGCGUUUGAAACUACAAGACUAGAAUAUGUCAGAGGGGGGUAGAAUUCCACGUGUAGCAGUGAAAUGCGUAGAGAUGUGGAGGAAUAUCAAUGGCGAAGGCAGCCCCCUGGGAUAAUAUUGACGCUCAUGCACGAAAGCGUGGGGAGCAAACAGGAUUAGAUACCCUGGUAGUCCACGCCCU
rnacentral:rRNA from 1 species